GCCGGUUUCGGCCGGCGAGUAGAGUGGCGCACGGGUGAGUAACACGUAGACAACCUGCCUUCGAGCCCGGAAUAACCUUUCGAAAGAAGGGCUAAUACCGGAUAACACACGGGAUCGCAUGAUUUUGUGUUGAAAGGCUUGCUACUCGAAGAGGGGUCUGCGGGACAUUAGCUAGUUGGCGAGGUAACGGCUCACCAAGGCGAUGAUGUCUAGCGGGUCUGAGAGGAUGAUCCGCCACACUGGAACUGAGACACGGUCCAGACUCCUACGGGAGGCAGCAGUGGGGAAUUUUGCGCAAUGGGCGAAAGCCUGACGCAGCAACGCCGCGUGAGUGAAGAAGGCCUUUGGG
rnacentral:rRNA from 1 species